UCUCGCGGUCCUCAGCAUCGUACUGGAAGGUGACCUGGCCAUCGCUGUUGUACUUGUUUCGUAGAUACGUGAUGUUCUCCGGAUCGGUGAUGCUGGUCAGCCGGCCAUCCGUAUAGCCAUAGCGCGUCGUGGCGCGCCUCGUUGAAUCAAAGGGCGCCGUGACCGCCGUCAGCUCGUCACCGAUGAAUUCGUACGUCCAGGUUCGACUCAGCGGGUCGGUAAGCACGAUGCGGUCGGGGAAGUAUUGAAAAGAGAGUUUCCGACCGCUGAUGUCCUCAAGGUAGUCGAUGCGGCCCUGGGGGUCAUAUGCGAGACGGAUAGUGUUCCCGUGGCGAUCCUCAAUGAGGACGAGCCGGCCUUGGCUAUCAAGCGGGCCGUACGCUUCGAAGUGGUACUUCAUCUGGUUUUUGAACUUCAGGAUCCAGCCGCUCGCAGUGCGCGUUAGCUCGUCGAAGACGCCCGCCUCACCGGCAUAUGAAGCGCCGGCGCGCUGCCAGCCCCUGCCCUGGCCCUCACCGCUCCAGACCAUGACCGAGCCGUCGUAGUACUCCUGGAGCGCCGUGUCCGCGAUCGUGCUCCAGCCCCGGCCGAGCAUGCCCACGCGAUCGCUGCGUGAGUUGUACGUGCGCUUCCACUCCAUCACCAGGCCAGCGUGGCCGGGCACCUUCACGUCCGAAUGCUGGUAGAAAUAGUUGCCGGUGCUUGUGCUGACCGGAUCCAGUACGCAGGCCUGGAAGUCGCACGUCCCGAGGGCCGUGACAAGAUCCUUUUCUUCCUGAGUUGGCGCUUUCUCGCCCAGGUACCGGAACGUCACCUUGUCGUAGCCGAGCUUGGUUUCGACUGGCGGAACGAUCGGAGAAUCCUUGGUUACAUCGUCAAGAUAGACAUACUCAUUGCCCUGUGCAUCGAACU
rnacentral:misc_RNA from 1 species